CCACCCGGCAAGUGUAGUGCGGCGAACGGCUCCCUCCGGGAAUAUGCUGCUUAUAGCGUAGGGAGCAAACGCACAAUAAGUGCGCAUGCUCAGUAACAGCUGCUGAAGCCCUGCCCUUAUUAGUGUUGGGCUCAAAGGCAGAGGAAGUUUGGGGAAUGCCCAUAUUACAAAGCCUAAGUGCCUUCAUUGUACUGUACUUCAUCAGCAGAUUGAAGAAAUAUGUAGAGUGACCUGGCUGGAGGGCCAAGGCACGAAGAUGGAGUUGCUGUGAGAGAGAGCAGCAAUAGAGCAUACAGCAAGAAGCAGAAGGGGGCGCUGGAACUGAAGAGAGCUGAUUCCCAGACUGACCAGGAGGAGCUACCACCUGCAGUGAGUGGACCCCAUGACGCUCACUUUUACUACUUUUUCGAGGAUUUCAAGCUCUCGGGCAGGACAUAUUGGAAAUGUUACGUAGUAUCUUGGUGCAAUGCUGUUGUACCAUUUUAUAAUGUAAGAUUAACUACAAGAGAAUGAUAAUCAUAUCAAACCAUUGUAUUAUACAGCAUUACUAGAUCUGAGGCUGACUGAUUUUAGAGGAACUCUUAAUGCAGUGUCAGAAUAUGUUCUGUCCAAAAAAGGCAGAUUCAUGCUGUCCCACUUUUCUGCCAGUGGUUUCAAUAGUAUGAAGGUAGAUGGGCUCAGGAGAGAGAGCCAUCAAGAUGUGUUCUCCUUCGGUGAAUAGAAAAGAGUAUUGAAGGCAGACAGUCCACAGCCUUCUUUCUUGCCAUCACACCUAUCUUGAGGUGGAAGCCACCACAAGGGAGUUGUGCUCAGGAAAAGACCACCAAAUAGUGUUUAAAUUCAGUAGGUACCCGCGUUUGUUCAACCAGAGGGGACAACAGAAAACAAAGAGCUUUUCCUGUAGCGAGCCUGGCACUGAAAGGAAGACUCUUAAAACACACACUUUAAUAGAAGUGUUGUAUAUUUUCAUUUUUAAGAAACUACCACUCAAAUUCCAACUCCAUCAAAAGAGUCAGGAAAGAGGAUGAUCCUGUUUUACCAACACCUAGUGAUGCUGA